rnacentral:lncRNA from 1 species
ACUUUUCCUGGAAGCGCCCGGCUGCCCGCUCCGGCUCCUGGCGCCGCCCCUCUCCGCAGCUGCUCCCGUGGCCCUGCUCCUGGAGCUUGGACUCCUGGGUCGGGCCGCCUGAGGUCACCUCUGGGCGCCUCCUGAGGCCCAUAUCCCCUUUGGAACAAGGUGGCUCAAGGUCUGUAGGAAAAAGAGCGGCUGACGUCUGGAGUUCAAGCAGUGUUUAUUUGGCGCCCACUGGGUGCCAACACUGGUCUAGGUGCUGAGGCUGGGUAGGGUGGUGAACGAGAUGGACAAAACCUGUCUGUUAACCACUUUGUCCACCUGUGUUCACCAGCAUCUGAUACGUAUUGAGGUGACCGGUUCCUGAUUUAUUAUUUUUUUAUUACUGGGUUCAAGCAAUUCUCCUGCCUCAGCCUCCCGAGUAGCUAGGAUUACAGGCUCCCGCCACCAUGCCCUGCUAAUUUUUGUAUUUUUAGUAGAGAUGGGGUUUCACCAUAUUGGCCAGGCUGGUCUCAAACUCCUGACCUUGUGAUCCGCCCGCCUCGGCCUCCCAGAGUGCUGGGAUUACAAGCGUGAGCCACCGUGCCCGGCCACCUGAUAUUUUUUAAACCAGUGAAUCUUCAAACCUAUUCAGCAAGUGUCUUCUGAGCAACUAUUACGUGCUACGCUGAG